AACGCUAGCUACAGGCUUAACACAUGCAAGUCGAGGGGCAGCAUGGUCUUAGCUUGCUAAGGCCGAUGGCGACCGGCGCACGGGUGAGUAACACGUAUCCAACCUGCCGUCUACUCUUGGGCAGCCUUCUGAAAGGAAGAUUAAUACAAGAUGGCAUCAUGAGUCCGCAUGUUCACAUGAUUAAAGGUAUUCCGGUAGACGAUGGGGAUGCGUUCCAUUAGAUAGUAGGCGGGGUAACGGCCCACCUAGUCUUCGAUGGAUAGGGGUUCUGAGAGGAAGGUCCCCCACAUUGGAACUGAGACACGGUCCAAACUCCUACGGGAGGCAGCAGUGAGGAAUAUUGGUCAAUGGGCGAGAGCCUGAACCAGCCAAGUAGCGUGAAGGAUGACUGCCCUAUGGGUUGUAAACUUCUUUUAUAAAGGAAUAAAGUCGGGUAUGGAUACCCGUUUGCAUGUACUUUAUGAAUAAGGAUCGGCUAACUCCGUGCCAGCAGCCGCGGUAAUACGGAGGAUCCGAGCGUUAUCCGGAUUUAUUGGGUUUAAAGGGAGCGUAGAUGGAUGUUUAAGUCAGUUGUGAAAGUUUGCGGCUCAACCGUAAAAUUGCAGUUGAUACUGGAUAUCUUGAGUGCAGUUGAGGCAGGCGGAAUUCGUGGUGUAGCGGUGAAAUGCUUAGAUAUCACGAAGAACUCCGAUUG
rnacentral:rRNA from 1 species